rnacentral:rRNA from 1 species
GAUGAACGCUGGCGGCGUGCCUAAUACAUGCAAGUCGAGCGAACAGACGAGGAGCUUGCUCCUUUGACGUUAGCGGCGGACGGGUGAGUAACACGUAGGUAACCUACCUAUAAGACUGGGAUAACUUCGGGAAACCGGAGCUAAUACCGGAUAAUAUUUCGAACCGCAUGGUUCGAUAGUGAAAGAUGGCUUUGCUAUCACUUAUAGAUGGACCUGCGCCGUAUUAGCUAGUUGGUAAGGUAACGGCUUACCAAGGCAACGAUACGUAGCCGACUUGAGAGGGUGAUCGGCCACACUGGAACUGAGACACGGUCCAGACUCCUACGGGAGGCAGCAGUAGGGAAUCUUCCGCAAUGGGCGAAAGCCUGACGGAGCAACGCCGCGUGAGUGAUGAAGGUCUUCGGAUCGUAAAACUCUGUUAUUAGGGAAGAACAAACGUGUAAGUAACUGUGCACGUCUUGACGGUACCUAAUCAGAAAGCCACGGCUAACUACGUG